UGGUAAAGACAAUGAAUACAAAAGGGUACUGUAGGAAAACACCCUGUAAUGUGGGAGGUUCCAGUGGUUGAGAAUAAAAGGAACAAACACAUCUGUCUUUAUUUUGGAGGACACAAGGCUUGGUGUAAAAACACAGCACUUAAUAGUGAACCUGCUCUACCUGAAAGCCUUUAUUUUCUGGUAGAUUCCAAGACUAAUUGGAAGUGAAGUCUUAACCAGAACUUCAGAAGUGAUUAUGACUGUGGAGGAGGCAGAAGAAGAUGCUGAUGAUGACAAUGAUUGUUAGAUGAAGAUGUUUGUGAAGCCUGUACUAUACCUAUACUUACAUUCUUACUUGAUCCUAAUCAUCCUGUAACACUUGUUUCAUGUUUUUUGUUUUGUUUCAUCAGUGCCUUAUGUUUUUAUGUUGUGGGUGGGGUGGGGGGAGGGGGUUGUCUACUUCCAAGGGUAGGCGACAGAACAAUAGGACACGAGUAUCAUGGUAGCUAGAGCAGUGCAAAGACAGAGAGUGACUACUGUACUGUAAGUCACCUUUGUGAAUGCACAUGCAUUGCUCCCAAACAUAGGGGGUUUACAAGACCCUACCAUGUUACUAUACCUUCCUGUUCCUUUUCAAGGUACAGCAAGAUAUAAAAAAAAAUGGGCUUGUAUAUUCUUAAUGGAAAACUUGAGCAAUGCAAAGACAGAGUGACUACAUUAAGUCACCUUUGUGAAUUCACAUGCAUUGCUCCCAAACAUGGGGGGUUUACAAGACCCUACCAUGUUACUAUACCUUCCUGUUCCUUUCCAAGGUAAAGCAAGGUAUAAAAAAAGAUGGGCUUGUAUAUUCUCCAUGGAAAACAUAGGGGGAUUACAAGAUUCUACUAUGUUAUUAUACCUUCCUGUUUGUUAAAGCAAGGUAUAAAAAAAAAGAUGGGCUUGUAUAUUCUCCAUUGAUGAAGGAAUGAAUUUGAUACCAAUGAUAAUUUUCAAAAUUAUUACAUAUGCACACUAGCCCCGUAAGAACCCUGGAGUUUAAGAAGUAAGAGUACAAUUUUUCCAAAUAUCAGCAACUCCCUCCACAAUAUAAAUUAAGAAAAUUAAUCAUCGGGAAAAUAGACAAGCCUAGUGUGGCCAAAUACAGGCUAAUAACCAUUAAGUACAGUACUGUACGUUCACUGUGUGUGAACGGGUACUGACUGACCUAUCAUGGUCAGCACACUUAAUAACAAGUAAAAAAAAUGCACAUGAUUGCAUGAUAACACUUGUACAUGGUGUAUAUCUAUCACUUCUAAUAGCAUCAUUUUCUUAUUUUCUGUAGCUUUAUUAAUGCACAAAUCAUAUUAUUGUUUUAUUAGAUUAGAAAGAAACUUUCCACUGUGGACCAAAAAUUUUGUAUACAUAUAAAAUUUUAAUACCACAUUUAUUGCUAUAUUUUAUUAUAUAUUAAUAUGAUAAUAUUAUUAAUAUUAUAUUAAUACAAUAUACAUUAUAUUAUUCUGCUUUUCCUGAAGUGUGUUGAUACAAAAUUGCAUCUAUUGAUGCAAUUUUACGUUGGACAAAUAUUGUCAAAACAAAAAAGAGUGCUCACACACUGUGUAUCACCCUUAUGUUUUAUCAGACAAUGUGGACAUUUUCCACUGUCUACUUUAAAUACGUUAAAAUUCAAUCAAAUAUAAAAGUUAUAUUAGUUGAUUUUAAUGUAUUAAAAAAACUUUUUUCAGCUGCCUUAAAUGAAAACUUGGGAUGAAAGUAUCCACUAUUUUCAAUUCAGUAAAUUCCUAUAAAUAUAGGGAAACACUGUAUUCUUUGUUCUAUUGCUGUCUGUAUUGUACUUGGUAGUGUGAUGGGAUCAUCAGAGACUGGCUGGUUUGGUUCUGAUAAGUGUGGGAAGUGUGCAUUAUAAAACAGAAAGGAAUCUGCAUUAGUUUGAUUGUCAUCGUUAGCCAUGCAGUCUUUCCGAUAUACAGACACAGCAGUGAUUAAAACCUGUUUUAAAAUGCAUGCUUACAGUGUGAUUAAAAUUUUUUUGUGUCGGUCUCGAUCGUAUCACAUAUAAGAUAUGUAUAUUAAAUUUCAAAUGAUU